rnacentral:rRNA from 1 species
UACGUAGGCAGCAAGCGUUGUUCGGAGUUACUGGGCGUAAAGGGUGCGUAGGCGGCUUGGUAAGUGUGGUGUGAAAUCUCCCGGCUCAACUGGGAGGUGCGCUACAAACUGCCGGGCUAGAGUGCGGGAGAGGAGAGUGGAAUUCCUGGUGUAGCGGUGAAAUGCGCAGAUAUCAGGAAGAACACCCGUGGCGAAGGCGGCGACCUGGUCCGAUACUGACGCUGAGGCGCGAAAGCGUGGGGAGCGAACAGG